rnacentral:rRNA from 1 species
GCCUAUGGCCUAACCACCCUGAACACAUCCGAUCUCAUCUGAUCACAGAAGCCAAGCAGGGCCGGGCCUGGUUAGAAUAGUACAAGGAACCUAGGAAGAUUCUGUGGCAUGUGCA